rnacentral:rRNA from 1 species
GACGAACGCUGGAGGCGUGCUUAACACAUGCAAGUCGAACGGAAAGGCCCUGCUUGCAGGGUACUCGAGUGGCGAACGGGUGAGUAACACGUGGGUGAUCUGCCCUGCACUUCGGGAUAAGCCUGGGAAACUGGGUCUAAUACCGGAUAGGAGCCAUUUUUAGUGUGAUGGUUGGAAAGUUUUUUCGGUGUAGGAUGAGCUCGCGGCCUAUCAGCUUGUUGGUGGGGUAAUGGCCUACCAAGGCGGCGACGGGUAGCCGGCCUGAGAGGGUGGACGGCCACAUUGGGACUGAGAUACGGCGCAGACUCCUACGGGAGGCAGGAGUGGGGAAUAUUGCACAAUGGGAGCAAGCCUGAUGCAGCGACGCCGCGUGGGGGAUGACGGCCUUCGGGUUGGAAACUCCUUUCGCUAGGGACGAAGCUUUUUGUGACGGUACCUAGAUAAGAAGCACCGGCUAACUACGUG